AUAAACAAUGUUCAUCAUAAGGGCAGACCAAUUUUAUUUCUUGUUUUACGGAUCCUCCAGUCAUAUUUUGUCAAGAAUAAGAAA